UACGUAGGGCGCAAGCGUUAUCCGGAAUUAUUGGGCGUAAAGAGCUCGUAGGCGGUCUGUUACGUCUGCUGUGAAAACCCAGGGCUUAACCCUGGGCUUGCAGUGGAUACGGGCAGACUAGAGGUAGGUAGGGGAGAAUGGAAUUCCUGGUGUAGCGGUGAAAUGCGCAGAUAUCAGGAGGAACACCGGUGGCGAAGGCGGGUCUCUGGGCCGAUACUGACGCUGAGGAGCGAAAGCGUGGGGGAGCGAACAGG
rnacentral:rRNA from 1 species